rnacentral:rRNA from 1 species
UACGAAGGGGGCUAGCGUUGUUCGGAUUUACUGGGCGUAAAGCGCACGUAGGCGGUUUGUUAAGUCAGGGGUGAAAUCCCGGAGCUCAACUCCGGAACUACCUUUGAUACUGGCAGCUAGAGUCCGGAAGAGGUAAGUGGAACUCCUAGUGUAGAGGUGGAAUUCGUAGAUAUUAGGAAGAACACCAGUGGCGAAGGCGGCUUACUGGUCCGGAACUGACGCUGAGGUGCGAAAGCGUGGGGAGCAAACAGG